rnacentral:lncRNA from 1 species
ACAUUUAAUUGUCAUAUAUGAUGCAAGUGGCACGUCAAAGGAUAUCUGAAUUCCUCUUUAUAGAUUUGAUCGGUAUUCCAUAAGUUCAUUGUCUGUAAUGUCGUCCAAAUGAAAUUCCGCGUGAACAUCAGACCACUUUUUGAAAGGCUGUAGAUUGCCCGUUUCUUUAUUCACUAUUGUCAUAUAAUCUUGUGAGAGAGAGACAAAUUUACAUUCUUUGUAUAUCAGUAUCGAACCCCAAUUUUGACCGCAUGAAAAACCGAAAACCUUUUCUGUUUUCAUUAUCUCAUCGAAUCUCAAAGACCUUUUUAUCUGUCUUCUGUCAAUCUUGUCAAAAAUUUCUUUAUCGCAAAUUAUAUUGUAUGCAUUUUUAAUCCUUCUGAUGUAUUUGCCGUCUACUAUGAAUUUGCCAAAAUAAUGCACAAUUUAUGUGAAAUUUGCAUUUCCUCUUUGAAUUAAAACUUGUUUUCAGAUGUUGUCGUAUAUGUUCCUCCAUCUCAUUGAUUUUUCUUUCUAAUGCUGCUACUUUCUGCCUAAAUUCUUCCAAUUUACCCAAUGCUAAACCCAUUGAAACCGACCUCUCGAAGUUUCUUUCUACACUUUUGAGUUCCUUUUGACUUGCAAUUAGCACCUCUUUUCCAUCUUCACGACGAAUUCUCCCUAUA